CCUACGAGAGGCAGCAGUAGGGAAUAUUGCUCAAUGGGGGAAACCCUGAAGCAGCAACGCCGCGUGGAGGAUGAAGGUUUUCGGAUUGUAAACUCCUAUUGUCAGAGAAGAUAAUGACAGUAUCUGACAAAUAAGCCCCGGCUAACUCCGUGCCAGCAGCCGCGGUAAUACGGAGGGGGCAAGCGUUACCCGGAUGCACUGGGCGUAAAGAGCGCGUAGGCGGGAUUGUAAGUCUGAUGUGAAAUCCUCGGGCUUAACCAUAGAACUGCAUUUGAAACUGUUAUUCUGGAGUAUGGGAGAGGUAGGCGGAAUUCUUGGUGUAGGGGUAAAAUCCGUAGAUAUCAAGAGGAAUACUCAGUGCGAAGGCGACCUGCUAGAAUAUAACUGACGCUGAGGCGCGAAAGCGUGGGGAGCAAACAGGAUUAGAUACCCGAGUAGUC
rnacentral:rRNA from 1 species